rnacentral:rRNA from 1 species
GACAGAGGGUGCAAACGUUGUUCGGAUUUACUGGGCGUAAAGCGCGUGUAGGCGGCUUGGCAAGUCGGAUGUGAAAGCCCACGGCUCAACCGUGGAAGCGCAUCCGAAACGGCCUCGCUCGAGUCUCGGAGAGGAAGGUGGAAUGCUUGGUGUAGAGGUGAAAUUCGUAGAUAUCAAGCAGAACACCUGCGGCGAAGACGGCCUCUGGACGAUGACUGACGCUGAGACGCGAAAGCGUGGGGAGCAAACAGG